UGACACUUUUUGAAUAGGAAAAAAGUAACCAAUUUAAAACCAGGAAAAGGGCAAAGCUUGAGUUGCAUUGAUGAGAAUUUGGUCUGAGAGUGGGUAAAAGGUAAUACGCUCUUCAUUAAAGGCUGGUACUCCUUUUUUUCUACCUUGGCAUGCCACUGACAUUUCAUCAUAAUUGUGCCCAACUUUUAUUGUUCACAAGUAUAUUAAUAAAC